rnacentral:rRNA from 1 species
UACAUGUGGGGCAAGCGUUGUUCGUAAUUACUGGGCAUAAAGGGUGCGUAGGUGGCUUGUUAAGUCAGGGGUGAAAGUUUUCGGCCCAACCGGAAAAUGGCCUUUGAUACUGGCGAGCUCGAGUGCGUGAGGGGUAACCGGAACGAGCAGUGUAGCGGUGAAAUGCGUAGAUAUUGCUCGGAAGGCCAACGGCGAAGGCAGGUUACUGGUGCGCAACUGACACUGAGGCACGAAAGCGUGGGGAGCAAACAGG